CCUACGGGUGGCAGCAGUGAGGAAUAUUGGUCAAUGGCCGAGAGGCUGAACCAGCCAAGUCGCGUGAGGGAAGACGGCCCUACGGGUUGUAAACCUCUUUUGUCGGGGAGCAAAGAGAGUCACGUGUGACUCAUUGAGAGUACCCGAAGAAAAAGCAUCGGCUAACUCCGUGCCAGCAGCCGCGGUACUACGAAGGAUGCGAGCGUUAACCGGAUUUAUUGGGUGUAAAGGGAGCGUAGGUGGAUUGUUAAGUCAGUUGUGAAAGUUUGGGGCUCAACCGUAAAAUUGCAGUUGAACCUGGCAGUCUUGAGUACAGUAGAGGUGGGAGGAAUUCGAGGUGUAGCGGUGAAAUGCUUAGAGAUCACGAAGAACUCCGAUUGCGAAGACAGUUCACUGGACUGCAACUGACACUGAGGUGCGAAAGUGUGGGUAUCAAACAGGAUUAGAUACCCGUGUAGUC
rnacentral:rRNA from 1 species